GGCACGGUGACGUAGUGGUUAGCAUGUUUGCCUCGCACCUCCUGAAGUCAGGGGUUCUAAUCCAGCCUCUGUCCUG